GAAAUCUAUGAAAUUUUAACACAAGGUUUAUGACCACAAAAGGAAGGUUGGUAUUGAUUUUGGGAGUUUUGGUCCCAAUAUUUUAGGAAUUAGGGGCCAAAAAGGGCCCAAAUAAGCAUUUUCUUGGUUUUCGCACUAUAACUUUAGUUUAAGUUAAUAGAAAUCUAUGAAAUUUUGACACAAGGUUUAUGACCACAAAAGAACGGUUGGGAUUGAUUUUGGGAGUUUUGGUUUCAACAGUUUAGGAAUUAGGGGCCAAAAAAGGGUCCAAAUAAGCAUUAUUCUUGGUUUUCGCACAAUAACUUUAGUUUAAGUAAAUAGAAAUCAAUGAAAUUUAAACACAAUGUUAAUGACUACAAAAGGAAGGUUGGUAUUGAUUUUGGGAGUUUAGGUCCCAACAGUUUAGGAAUUAGGGGCCAAAAAGGGACUCAAAUAAGCAUUUUUCUUGGUUUUCGCACCAUAACGUUAGUAUAAGUAAAUAGAAAUCUAUGAAAUUUAAACACAAGGUUUAUGACCAUAAAAGGAAGG
rnacentral:lncRNA from 1 species